rnacentral:rRNA from 1 species
UCAGGACGAACGCUGGCGGCGUGCUUAACACAUGCAAGUCGAACGGAGUUAAGCGCUGAAUUGAUGCUAGCUUGCUAGUGGAUUUCUUGCUUAACUAGUGGCGGACGGGUGAGUAACGCGUGAGUAACCUGCCUCUCAGUGGGGAAUAACGCCCUGAAAAGAGCGCUAAUACCGCAUAAUAUAUUUUUGCCGCAUGACAGGAAUAUCAAAGAUUUAUCGCUGAGAGAUGGACUCGCGUCCGAUUAGCUAGUUGCGGGGUAACGGCCCACCAAGGCGACGAUCGGUAGCCGGACUGAGAGGUUGAACGGCCACAUUGGGACUGAGACACGGCCCAGACUCCUACGGGAGGCAGCAGUGGGGGAUAUUGCGCAAUGGGGGAAACCCUGACGCAGCAACGCCGCGUGGAGGAUGACGGUUUUCGGAUUGUAAACUCCUUUUAUAAGGGACGAACUAAGACGGUACCUUAUGAAUAAGCUCCGGCUAACUACGUGCCAGCAGCCGC